rnacentral:rRNA from 1 species
CUAUCUUACGCGCAAGCCAAUGGGCAUACCACAUACCAUGUGCAGAAGUGCUGCCGGUAUAUUAUAACCAUUAAACCCACAGGCGAAGACAACUCGAUUGUCACGGGAUUACGGGCACGGAUAGGUGGCGCAAGCCCUUAUAGAACCGAGCCCCUCCAUCCCAGGGUGCUCCGUCACGGGUGCUUGCACCCAGCGGGCAUCCCCGAGUGCGCAGGAUGUGACCCGAAAGAUGGUGAACUAUGCUUGAUCAGGUCGAAGUCAGGGGAAACCCUGAUGGAGGCCGAAGCAAUUCUGACGUGCAAAUCGAUUGUCAGAGUUGAGCAUAGGGGCGAAAGACCAAUCGAACCAUCUAGUACUGG